rnacentral:rRNA from 1 species
UACAGAGGGUGCAAGCGUUGUUCGGAAUUAUUGGGCGUAAAGGGCGCGUAGGCGGUGCGGUAAGUCUGCAGUGAAAUCUCUGGGCUCAACUCAGAGUCUGCUGUGGAAACUGCCGUGCUUGAGUGUGGGAGAGGUGAGUGGAAUUCCCGGUGUAGUGGUGAAAUGCGUAGAGAUCGGGAGGAACACCCGUGGCGAAGGCGGCCAACUGGGCCGGACCUGACGCUGAGGCGCGAAGGCGUGGGGAGCGAACGGG